CCUACGGGAGGCAGCAGUAGGGAAUCUUCCACAAUGGGCGAAAGCCUGAUGGAGCAACGCCGCGUGGGUGAAGAAGGUCUUCGGAUCGUAAAACACUGUUGUUAGAGAAGAAAGUGCGUGAGAGUAACUGUUCACGUUUCGACGGUAUCUAACCAGAACGCCACGGCUAACUACGUGCCAGCAGCCGCGGUAAUACGUAGGUGGCAAGCGUUAUCCGGAUUUAUUGGGCGUAAAGGGAACGCAGGCGGUCUUUUAAGUCUGAUGUGAAAGCCUUCGGCUUAACCGGAGUAGUGCAUUGGAAACUGGGAGACUUGAGUGCAGAAGAGGAGAGUGGAACUCCAUGUGUAGCGGUGAAAUGCGUAGAUAUAUGGAAGAACACCAGUGGCGAAAGCGGCUCUCUGGUCUGUAACUGACGCUGAGGUUCGAAAGCGUGGGUAGUAAACAGGAUUAGAUACCCGGGUAGUC
rnacentral:rRNA from 1 species